rnacentral:lncRNA from 1 species
CUACUCUCCUGAGGUUUUUUAUGGAUCCCCAUUAGCUCCUGCCAAAGCAGCAGCUAAGGCAGUUAUACAUUUUUUAAAAAACUUUACAAUACAUUCAUACCAGAUUCCACAAAAUAUUAAGACCAGAUUGUUCAUCAAAUCUAAUGGGGUUUGACGGGAGGGGUGAACAGGGACAAUGGGAGGGAGGGGGAAAGGGUUAGGAGGAGAGAGGGGAGAAGAGGGGUUGGAGGAGGAGAGAGGGGAGAAGAGGAGGGGUGGAGGAGGAGAGAGGGAAGGAGAGGGUUAGGAGAAGAGGGGGAGAGAGGGAGAAGGGUUGGUAGAGAGAGGGAGAAGAGGAGGAGAGAGGGGAGGAGAGGUGGAGGAGAGAGGGUGGAGAGGUGGAAGAGAGAGGAGGAGGGGUGGAGGAGAGAGGGGGGAGAGGUGGAAGAGAGAGGGAGGAGAGGUGGAGGAGAGAGGGAGGAGAGGUGGAGGGGAGAGGGAGAGAGGUGGAGGAGAGAGGGGGAGAGGUAGAAGAGAGAGGAGGAGGGGUGGUUGAGAGAGGGGGGAGAGGUGGAGGGGAGAGGGAGACAGGGAGAAGUUGUAGGUGGAGAGGGGGGUAAAGGAGGGAGAAAAAUGAUGACAGCAUUAAAGGUUUCUGACCUUUCGGUAAGUGAGAAGCUUUUGUCCAGAACUUUUUGGUGAGAAAAAAUACUAUUUUAGAGACCAGAGACAGAAAUGGAUCCAACAGAGUAACAGACUGAUGAAGUAAUAUUGGGGAUCACAUACAUCUGGAAAAUAUUCAGACCACUUGACUUUUUCCCCAUUUUGUUACAUUACAGCC